rnacentral:lncRNA from 1 species
CUGUGCCCCAUAGAUGUGUGGGGUGGACCCAUAGAUGGGGUCUGUGCCCUAUAGAUGGGGUCUGUGCCCCAUGGAUGUGUGGGGCUGCCCUAUAGAUGGGGUCUAUGCCCCAUAGAUGGGUGGGGUGGACCCAUAGAUGGAGGCUGUGCCCCAUAGAUGGGGUCUAUGCCCCAUAGAUGUGUGGGGCUGCCCCAUAGAUGGAGGCUGUGCCCCAUAGAUGGGGUCUGUGCCCUAUAGAUGGGGUCUGUGCCCCAUAGAUGUGUGGGGCUGCCCCAUAGAUGUGUAACCCCGCCCCCUUUUCCCUUGGCCCCGCCCCCAGGUGCUGGUGCUGCGCCGUGAUUGGUCCUCGGUUCUGCAGUCGCUGCUCGUCAAUCUGCCGGCGUGGGCGGAGCAAAGAGCGGCGUGACGUCAUCGGCGGCCUCAUGAAUAAUUAAUUGGGGGGGGGGGGCACCCGUUGUAAUAGGAGAUCCCAGCUAUGGGGCAAUAUGGGGUAAUGUGGGAGGCUAUGGGGCAAUAUGGGGGGCUAUGGGGUGUUAUGGGGCAAUAUGGGGUUGCUAUGGGGCAAUAUGGGGGGCUAUGGGUCUCUAUGGGUCAAUAUGGGUCUCUAUGGGGCAAUAUGGGGGGCUAUGGGGCCAUCAGUGGGUCUCUAUGGGUCAAUAUGGGUCUCUAUGGGGCAAUAUGGGGUGCUAUGGGGCCAUCA